rnacentral:lncRNA from 1 species
AAAUCCACGACAUUACAAUUCAAAAUAGUCUAAGUGUGGAUGAUUUCUGACUUAGAAGAUUUUGGGUUUUUGUAGUUAAGUAAAUGUAAAAAAUAUUUAGGAAGUAUUUUUCCCAUCAAUUAUUUCACUAAUUGAAAGUUUGAUUUGGCUUAUUAAAAAGCACAUGAUUUUGGUCUAGAGAGCGCUUGCUGAUCUUCCGGAAGGCCUGGGCUCAAUUCCCAGCACCCAUGUGGUGGCUUACAACCAUCUCUAUCUCCAAUCCCAAGGGAUCCAGCACCCUCUUCCUGUGUCCUCAGACACCAGGCACACAGUAGUGCACAGGCAUAGAUGCAGACCAAACACCCAUCCACAUAAAGUUAAAAAAAAGUUCUAAAUGCACACAACUUGUAGUAUUUAAAAGAAAGCCCCCAAAUUUUAAGAAGUGGGUUUAACAUGUCUUAUUUUUACUACUGUUUAGUAUUAUAGACAUGAAAGCUCUAGGGAUCGUUUCUCAUUCUCAUUACAAAAAAGCUGGUCCAAGUUUUCUUAUCCUUGGUAGGUUUAAACUAAAAGAAAAAGCUACAUAUUUUGUACAGGGCUAAAAGUAUGAAUUUAGCUAUAGAUUGAUAUUUUAAUUCCAAAUGAAGGUAAUGUAAAAUAAGCAUGGAUCUGAUUUAAAUAAAGAUUUCAAAGUCUGCUCAUAAA